ACCAUCUGCUCUGCUGAUUGUCCCUAAAGGAUAAAUGAAAACUAAAGUGAAGUUUGGCUGGGUUUUCUCAUUUAGUCUGCCUAAUGAGCUUUUUUACUAAUUGUUCAGCAUGCAGUCUUUAAGACAACAGUUAUUAGUGAUGCCACAUGGCAGCUCGCUAAACUCUGACAACGUGGUUAAUGAGACACAAGAUGAAGUGCCUAGGAUAAAUGAUCCCUUUUGGAGACUGAUUUGUGCUGCCAGCAAACCAUGAGCUAGUUCUCUGCUUCAAAUGCCUUACCAGCAGCUUCCAUUUCAUUUUUUCUCAGCAGUUACCAUUAUCACAAGGCCUUGGUGUAACAGGAUGGCUCAGCUGUGCUGCUGGAGGGGCAGGAGGGAUUAGGCUGGUCCUCAGGAACUCUGGAUCAGCUGCUCAGGGAGCCCUUCGGUCACCCUGCG